GCUGCAUCUGUUGUACCACUGAUUUGCGCUUCUGCUGCUGUUCCUAUUCGCUGCUACAGUCUGCUUCCUCAUCUCCUUCCAUUGCGUUACAGACUCAUUGUGUUACAGUCCCGUCCAAACUAUUUUCUUUGUUGGUUUUAAAGCAAUAUCACUACUCGUUGUAGUGCAUACUUUGGAGACCAAUAUUAGUCUUGGAAAUGUGUCUUUCUCAUUCACUCACACCAAAGCUAUAGAGCCUUUCUUUUCCAUCAUUCUUUCUCCCAUAUUUAUUGGAGAGGUUAGAAUGUUAUUCUUUUCUUUUUCCUGCAAAUUGUCAUUGCUUAUUUAA
rnacentral:lncRNA from 1 species